rnacentral:ncRNA from 1 species
CUUAUCCAAGGAUAGAACAGGCAGCUAUCACGCCCUUUGUGGUCUUAAAGAGAUACCGGAGUGUCACCCGGUUGGAUAAU